rnacentral:ncRNA from 1 species
CCCUGACAGCUGCAUCCCGUAGCUGACAAUAGCCAAGACAGGAGAAUUUACAUG